GGCCGGGGGAACCGGCCAGGCCCGGAAGGGAGCAACCGUGCCCGGUC
rnacentral:misc_RNA from 1 species